UUUUAAUUAUCAUGCCCUCCAGAAAGCAAGCUCUUCUGAAGUCAGCAGUAUGGCACUCACCUGAGGGAAAGAGGUCAAGCUUAAAGGGCAUCAUUCAUUCUGACCUCAUGAUGGUGAAGAACAAACAUUAAACCACCUGAGUGGAGGACUCCUCAGAAUGAGCUGACUCUGUCUGACAGAGAGGAAACAGUCGUGGAUCCACAGCAUGAUACAUCCUUCAGGACAUUUCAAAUACAUCUUCAUCUUGGUUUUGAAGAGCACCAGAAGAAAUUCUCAUGGAGAAAUUGGAGCCAGUUUCCAGCUAGUUUGGUCUUUAUGAGGUUUGCAGCACUCAAACCACUGGAGCCGCCCUGGACUUGAGGCAGCCCUUGUCGCCUGGAUCUUCACCCGGAUGGCAGGUUUCUUGGAGAUCAUGGCCAACCAGCUGUGAGAUCACAUCCUCCUUUGUGGUGUCACCUGUCAGAAAUUAACAUCUGUGGGGCUGGAGAGAUGGCUCAACGGUUAAGAGCAUUGGUUAUUCUUGCAGAAGACCGGGGUUCAAAUCCCAGC